GACGGAGGAUGCAAGCGUUAUCCGGAAUUAUUGGGCGUAAAGCGCACGUAGGCGGCCUACUAAGUCGCAUGUGAAAGCCCCAGGCUUAACCUGGGAACGGCGGUUGAGACGGCCCGACUCGAGUGGGCUAGAGGAUCGUGGAAUUCCGGGUGUAGCGGUGAAAUGCGUAGAGAUCCGGAGGAACACCAGUGGCGAAGGCGGCCCCCUGGCUCAAGACUGACGCUGAGGUGCGAAAGCGUGGGGAGCAAACAGG
rnacentral:rRNA from 1 species